UGUCAUCCUCUAAGAUAGUCCACAUUGGAUUUGAAGUUUCAUGUCUAGACAAAAUUUUAACCUCAUUUAGGCAAUGUUUUCAAAUUUGAUAAUGGAGGGAAAAAAUGAUGAACAAAUGAUCAAAGGGCCAGCAAACUGGAUCGAAAAUGCAAGGCCCGGUCCAAAAAGCCCACAUGGAUGGCAAGCAAACAAAAUCUGGUCAGAAGCAAAAGUGUCUUGUCGUUUUCACAUGCUCUGCCCUCAAUUCAACUUUAUCAAGAAACAACUAUCACGCUGCUGCAAUUCAAAUUUCAAAUUCAAAUCACACACUCUCUCUCUCUCCCUCUUCUUUCACGUUCUUUAACAUUCUUUAACAUUGCUUUCACCUUCAUUCAACAUUCAUUUCUUCGUCCGUUUCUCUGCUUCAUCUCCCAGAAUCUAGAUUCACUUCCAUCGCAAUCUUCAGGUUCUUAACACACCAAUCCAACGAAAGCUACUACUUAAAGGUGGUGUAGCAGAUUGUGCAUAUUGGAAGGAUAAUUCUCUGUGCCAUAAUUUAGAUGCCAAAAGAUUUGUAGACUAUUUGGCUACUUUGGUCCUCUAAAUGAAGUUUUCGUGCCUCAUGAUUAUUAUAUUAGGUUAUUGGUAAAACAUUGGUCCUUGAUGAGAUAAUCAAUUAUACUCAAUCAUAUCACCACCAACAGCAAAGCUUUUGAUAAAUGGUUGCAUAAAAGGGUUGAAAGUGAUAUAAUGCUUCCAAAAAGGUUGUUGGAGAGUCUUUCACAUGAAGUCACAAAACCUUAUGAAGAUACUUUUGUAUGGAUUUGAUGUAUAAGCAUGGAGAAAGGUUUCUUCAACUUCUUCAAAUAGAAAGGUUUCAACUUGCUUCUCAAUCCCUUCCUUAUUUCAUCAUUUGAUUUCAUAUUCUGAUUUAUUUAUUUUUUUGGAAUGUUAUUGUUUGUUCAUUAGGUUCACAAAUUAGGGUUUCAUUGGGUAAGUUUUAUGAACUUUAAUUGAUUGUAUUUGAGUAGUAUUUAGCUGAACUUUAAUUUGAGUAUGUGAUAGAGUAUAGUGCUAAUUAAAUUUGAGUAAGUUUCUUGGAGUAUGACAAAGAAGAAUGUGUCUCCGAAUGGCAAAAAUACAGAGCUUGUCUUUCUUAACAUUUGGAAGAUAGAAAAAUGAUUCAUAUAUUGGAAGGUGAAAAUGUUGUUCAAGAAGAUAGUGCUGUUGCUUCUCAGUAGCAUAUCACAUGUUUGCUGUAAUGACAGUGAUCAAUUUAGUAGCUUUCACUGCUCACUAGCAAUUUAUUAUCGUUCCUUCAAAUUUUCCAUAAUUUGUAACAUUGAGUUGUUUAAAUUAUAGAAUCAUAGAAACUUAGGGUCAACCUUGAUAUAGACUAUAGAGUAUUUUACUUUGACAUGAAUAGUUUUAAGAAUGGAACUAAGGUUAUGGACAGAGUUUAAUGUCCAUGCCUAAUUUUUAAUCAAGAUUGAGUCACUUACUCAUUGACAACCAAAAAAAAUAAGAUUUUCAAUUUUUUUUAUUGUAAAAGUGAGCACCGACAAAGUGUUUGACCAAAUGUCUCAAUAUGCAAAACUAUUGAAAAUAUUCCCUACUUAGAAUUUCUGUUGAAAAUAUUGUUGGUUAGUUGUCAUAUUUAUUAGGAUUUGUUUCUAUCUUUUAGUCAAUAAUCCCUACUUCUUAGGAGUUGUUAAUGGGAUUUAGAUGGUUUUCUCGGCACACCACUUUUUCAGAAUUCCAGAGUGUUGUUGAAUUGAUUCUGGGGCAUGAAUAAUGAAUUAUUGAUGAAAUCACUAGGAAUCUUUAGUCAAAUGGUUCUUGAGGUGUGACAGAGUUUUUCUAGGCAAGAUGCGGUUAAUUAAUCAGACCCAAUAGACACAGAGAAAGCGACAAGGGAUAAUAGUAGUGAUUUUCUUGAGUUUCAAAGAUCUAUUGGUUGAAUUGUUAAGAUCGAGACGUGGAAAAAGAAGGCUGGGGUCGCCUCUGUGGAAGCUCGAACUUGAAGCUUGAACAUCGACUAACUCGUGAGUUGAGGUGUGUAAGCUAGGAACUAAUUCUGAGUUGCUUAUAGAAUGAAAGUUCACCCAAUAAAGAUGGCAUUAUUUGUACGAUGGAAACCUCAAAGCGUUACAGGUUUAUGUAAAGUUAAGGUGAACGAUCAUAUCAACUCAAUUUGAGAAGUUGAUAUGUAAGUGAAUUUGACCAAUUUGAAUGUAGCAACUCAAUUUUGAUAUUGUUGUGGAAUUAGUAGUCAAGCUAAGAUACUGUUAUGGAAUUAUAGUUACUGUUAUUUAAAUGAUACAUGAAACUUCAAUUUGAAAAAGAUAGCAAAAAAAAACAGGUGUCAUCCUCUAAGAUAGUCCACAUUGGAUUUGAAGUUUCAUGUCUAGACAAAAUUUUAACCUCAUUUAGGCAAUGUUUUCAAAUUUGAUAAUGGAGGGAAAAAAUGAUGAACAAAUGAUCAAAGGGCCAGCAAACUGGAUCGAAAAUGCAAGGCCCGGUCCAAAAAGCCCACAUGGAUGGCAAGCAAACAAAAUCUGGUCAGAAGCAAAAGUGUCUUGUCGUUUUCACAUGCUCUGCCCUCAAUUCAACUUUAUCAAGAAACAACUAUCACGCUGCUGCAAUUCAAAUUUCAAAUUCAAAUCACACACUCUCUCUCUCUCCCUCUUCUUUCACGUUCUUUAACAUUCUUUAACAUUGCUUUCACCUUCAUUCAACAUUCAUUUCUUCGUCCGUUUCUCUGCUUCAUCUCCCAGAAUCUAGAUUCACUUCCAUCGCAAUCUUCAGGUUCUUAACACACCAAUCCAACGAAAGCUACUACUUAAAGGUGGUGUAGCAGAUUGUGCAUAUUGGAAGGAUAAUUCUCUGUGCCAUAAUUUAGAUGCCAAAAGAUUUGUAGACUAUUUGGCUACUUUGGUCCUCUAAAUGAAGUUUUCGUGCCUCAUGAUUAUUAUAUUAGGUUAUUGGUAAAACAUUGGUCCUUGAUGAGAUAAUCAAUUAUACUCAAUCAUAUCACCACCAAGUAGAGCUGUGAAUUCUUUAUCUAAUGUUGUAAUUCUUUGUGAAAAUAUGAAUGUUUGAUAAACUAUCUGAUAUGUUUGAUUCACAAUAAUUUAUAGCAGCAAAGCUUUUGAUAAAUGGUUGCAUAAAAGGGUUGAAAGUGAUAUAAUGCUUCCAAAAAGGUUGUUGGAGAGUCUUUCACAUGAAGUCACAAAACCUUAUGAAGAUACUUUUGUAUGGAUUUGAUGUAUAAGCAUGGAGAAAGGUUUCUUCAACUUCUUCAAAUAGAAAGGUUUCAACUUGCUUCUCAAUCCCUUCCUUAUUUCAUCAUUUGAUUUCAUAUUCUGAUUUAUUUAUUUUUUUGGAAUGUUAUUGUUUGUUCAUUAGGUUCACAAAUUAGGGUUUCAUUGGGUAAGUUUUAUGAACUUUAAUUGAUUGUAUUUGAGUAGUAUUUAGCUGAACUUUAAUUUGAGUAUGUGAUAGAGUAUAGUGCUAAUUAAAUUUGAGUAAGUUUCUUGGAGUAUGACAAAGAAGAAUGUGUCUCCGAAUGGCAAAAAUACAGAGCUUGUCUUUCUUAACAUUUGGAAGAUAGAAAAAUGAUUCAUAUAUUGGAAGGUGAAAAUGUUGUUCAAGAAGAUAGUGCUGUUGCUUCUCAGUAGCAUAUCACAUGUUUGCUGUAAUGACAGUGAUCAAUUUAGUAGCUUUCACUGCUCACUAGCAAUUUAUUAUCGUUCCUUCAAAUUUUCCAUAAUUUGUAACAUUGAGUUGUUUAAAUUAUAGAAUCAUAGAAACUUAGGGUCAACCUUGAUAUAGACUAUAGAGUAUUUUACUUUGACAUGAAUAGUUUUAAGAAUGGAACUAAGGUUAUGGACAGAGUUUAAUGUCCAUGCCUAAUUUUUAAUCAAGAUUGAGUCACUUACUCAUUGACAACCAAAAAAAAUAAGAUUUUCAAUUUUUUUUAUUGUAAAAGUGAGCACCGACAAAGUGUUUGACCAAAUGUCUCAAUAUGCAAAACUAUUGAAAAUAUUCCCUACUUAGAAUUUCUGUUGAAAAUAUUGUUGGUUAGUUGUCAUAUUUAUUAGGAUUUGUUUCUAUCUUUUAGUCAAUAAUCCCUACUUCUUAGGAGUUGUUAAUGGGAUUUAGAUGGUUUUCUCGGCACACCACUUUUUCAGAAUUCCAGGUUUAGUUAGAUUUUAUAAUAAUGGUUAAUUUUUUUUUUCAAUCUUUUUUUUUCCAGUGUGAUGUAUAUAGUAUAUUCUUAUCAUUAUACUGAUGUAUGUUCUUAUCAUAAUAUUUUUCAUUACAUGGUUAAUUUUGUGUUUAUUUGUGAAAUAAAGAUUUACAGUAUAUGUUUAUUUGUGUUAAUUUUGAUAUACUAGAUGUAACUAUCGAUUCAUUAGCUAUGGUUGUUAUAUGUUUCUGAGAAGAAUUUGAUUUUCAGAGUGUUGUUGAAUUGAUUCUGGGGCAUGAAUAAUGAAUUAUUGAUGAAAUCACUAGGAAUCUUUAGUCAAAUGGUUCUUGAGGUGUGACAGAGUUUUUCUAGGCAAGAUGCGGUUAAUUAAUCAGACCCAAUAGACACAGAGAAAGCGACAAGGGAUAAUAGUAGUGAUUUUCUUGAGUUUCAAAGAUCUAUUGGUUGAAUUGUUAAGAUCGAGACGUGGAAAAAGAAGGCUGGGGUCGCCUCUGUGGAAGCUCGAACUUGAAGCUUGAACAUCGACUAACUCGUGAGUUGAGGUGUGUAAGCUAGGAACUAAUUCUGAGUUGCUUAUAGAAUGAAAGUUCACCCAAUAAAGAUGGCAUUAUUUGUACGAUGGAAACCUCAAAGCGUUACAGGUUUAUGUAAAGUUAAGGUGAACGAUCAUAUCAACUCAAUUUGAGAAGUUGAUAUAAUAUUGAUUUGGUUAUGCAUCUCUAAAGCUAUUUGGUUAUGCAGAAAUACUAAAUUUGUUGGUUCGUCAGAGGUAUAUUUUAUUCUAUAAUACCACAACUACAUCAGAGGUAUAAUCAAUCACUCCAUUUUUUUUUCAUCAUGAAAUGAUCAUCACUUCUUUCAUUUUGUUCUUUGUUUUCAUAUAUAACUUAAAAUUAAAGGUACUAUUUGAUACAACUACAUCUAAUGUAGCACAAACACUUCAUUGUGGAUAGUGUUUUUGUGAUGCCUCUGUCACCGUAUAAGUAGACCACUUAUAGUUUGAUACUUUUAAUUACUUUUAGUUUGAUUUAGAUAGAAAGGAUUAUUGUCAUUAUUUGAAUUCCUUACUUUAGUGAGAGUUGGUGAGGUACAUAGCUUUGAUUGCAUUUUUCCUUUCUUCCAGAUUCUCCUAUAGAUCGUUUGUCGCCGACAGAGUAGACCACCGAUUUUUGUUUUUUUGUUUCAGUUUCUUUGGCUUUAUUUUUUUGGUCUUAUAUAUCAUUCAAUUGUGGUAUUAUUUUUUUAUGAUUUUCUAUACUAUCAUUUGUAUGCAAUUAGUGAAAGAAUUAGUGAAAAUAGAUAAUUUGUUAGCUUUUACAUCACCAACUUUAAGAAAUUUUAUAAAAAUGGUGUCUUCUUCAUCAUAUUUUUUUAAAUGAUUUAUUUAAAUUUUUGCAAAAACUGUAUGAAAUCAACUAUAAUACUCUAUUUGCACUUUGCAGGCCAAAAGAUUUGUAGACUAUUUGACUACUUUGGUCCUCUAAAUGAAGUUUACGUGCCUCAUGAUUAUUAUAUUAGGUUGCAGGUUUGAGUUCAAAGGAUGGUAACUAAGAAUAUGAUGGAGCAAAAUUAACAUGUUUCCUUUGAGCACAUGUAUUAUUUUUUUUUAUCAGGUAAGACAUAGUAGUAGAAGUGGUGGAAGGUGAUGCUAGAAAUGUUCUCUGUGAUGCUGUGGAGAAGCACCAUGCUUCAAUAUUGGUUCUUGGUAGUCAUGGUUAUGGAGCUAUAAAAAGGGCGGUAUUAGGUAGUCUAAGGACUACUGUGCUCAUCAUGCUCAUUGCACUGCGAUGAUUGUGAAGAAGCCAAAAACCAAACACUGAUCUCAUUGGCUGCGUGCGUCUAAAUUGUCCUACAACAAUCAGAAUAUAUAUAUUUUCAGCAAAAGGAAACAUGUUUGUUCCAUGUCAUAUUGACUCUAUAGAAUAAGGUUCAUUUCACAUUUUAUUAUGUUUUAAAUACUAAAAUUAGAACAGGAUUUCUCCCUGUCCCAGCCAGUAGUCACCCUGGUACUUAUUUUGAUUAUGAUCAGAUUUUGUAAAUGUGACAGUUCUAUGCAUAAACGAAUAAGAAUCAUAUGUAUGCCAUAAUUUUGUUCAUUCCUUAA